UUGACGGGGGCCCGCACAAGCGGUGGAGCAUGUGGUUUAAUCGAAGCAGCGCGAAGAACCUUACCAGGCCUUGACAUGCAGAGAACUUUCCAGAGAUGGAUUGGUGCCUUCGGGAACUCUGACACAGGUGCUGCAUGGCUGUCGUCAGCUCGUGUCGUGAGAUGUUGGGUUAAGUCCCGUAACGAGCGCAACCCUUGCCUUUAGUUGCCAGCAGUUCGGCUGGGCACUCUAAAGGGACUGCCGGUGUUAAACCGGAGGAAGGUGGGGAUGACGUCAAGUCCUCAUGGCCCUUACGGCCUGGGCUACACACGUGCUACAAUGGUCGGUACAAAGGGUUGCCAAGCCGCGAGGUGGAGCUAAUCCCAUAAAACCGAUCGUAGUCCGGAUCGCAGUCUGCAACUCGACUGCGUGAAGUCGGAAUCGCUAGUAAUCGUGAAUCAGAAUGUCACGGUGAAUACGUUCCCGGGCCUU
rnacentral:rRNA from 1 species